rnacentral:rRNA from 1 species
GCGCAUCUGUGCAUGCAGCAUAUCAAUAAGCGGAGGAAAAGAAACUAACAAGGAUUCCCCUAGUAACGGCGAGUGAAGCGGGAAGAGCUCAAAUUUGAAAUCUUAAAGGGUUUCCCUUUACGAAUUGUAGUUUAAAGAAGUGUUUUCUGUUGAGGUUUUGGUAAAAGUUCUUUGGAAUAGGACAUCAUAGAGGGUGAGAAUCCCGUAUUUGACCUUUACUUUCAACUUUGUGAUACACUUUCAAAGAGUCGGAUUGUUUGGGAAUGCAGUCCCAAAAUGGGUGGUAAAUUUCAUCUAAAGCUAAAUAUUGGCGAGAGACCGAUAGCGAACAAGUACCGUGAGGGAAAGAUGAAAAGAACUUUGAAAAGAGAGUUAAACAGUACGUGAAAUUGUCAAAAGGGAAGCGUUUGACACCAGUGUUGUUUUUCUGAAAAUCAAUUAAAGAACUGUUUAUGCUAAGCUGUUUAGACUUUAUUAGCUAACUGUUUAGUUUUGAGCUUUUCUUUAAUGCACUUUUCAGUUAACAAGUCAACAUCAAUUUCUUUUGCUGUAAAAAAGCUUGAGGAAGGUGGCUUGAGAUUCGUCUUAAGUGUUUAUAGCCUCUUGCCUAUGCAGUCGGAGAGAUUGAGGUCUGCAGCGUAGAUCCUUCGGGGCUAAAUGCAUUUGUGCUAAGUUAUAGCAUUUUAUAGACAACUUGUUGACUAUGAUUUGUCUUGUAGCUUACUCGCUUAUGUUAUUUUACCUACGCUUAGGAUGUUGAGCGCAUGUCUCUCUCU